UUCCGUAGGUGACCUGCGGAAGGAUCAUUGUCGAAUCCUGAACGGCCGACCGCGAACACGUUCCUGAAAACCGCGCGCGCCGGGGAGCCGGGCCGAGCCCGGCGAGCCGCGCGCGCGCCGAACCCUAACUCUCGGCGCGAGAAGCGCCAAGGACUACUCGGAACGGAUCCGGGCGGCGUCCCCCGCGGUGGGAUCCCCCGGCAUUCGAUGAAACGUAACCAACCCGACUUUUGGCAACGGAUAUUUAGGCUCUCGCAUCGAUGAAGAACGUAGCAAAAUGCGAUACUUGGUGUGAAUUGCAGAAUCCCGUGAAUUAUCGAGUUUUUGAACGCAAGUUGCGCCCGAAGCCAUCCGGCCGAGGGCACGUUUGCCUGGGCGUCACGCAUCUUGUCGCCGCCCCCUUCUCCCCCUUCUUCGGGACGCUGGCUGGCAGCGGGGCGGCGGAUGCUGGCCUCCCGUUCCCUCGCGGCGCGGCUGGCCCAAAUGCGAGCCCCCGGACAAGGGACGUCACGGCUUGAGGUGGUUGGACAUGCUUGUUUCAUUCAUUGAGGAGCCGUGACGGCCCCCGGGGCCCCCUCGACCGACCCCAUGAGAGCAGUGGCCUCCGACCGCGACCCCAG
rnacentral:rRNA from 1 species